GCGACAAAGGGCUGAAUCUCAGU
rnacentral:siRNA from 1 species